rnacentral:rRNA from 1 species
AUUGAACGCUGGCGGCAUGCCUUACACAUGCAAGUCGAACGGUAACAGGUCUUCGGAUGCUGACGAGUGGCGAACGGGUGAGUAAUACAUCGGAACGUGCCCGAGAGUGGGGGAUAACGAGGCGAAAGCUUUGCUAAUACCGCAUACGAUCUCAGGAUGAAAGCAGGGGACCGCAAGGCCUUGCGCUCACUGAGCGGCCGAUGGCAGAUUAGGUAGUUGGUGGGAUAAAAGCGUACCAAGCCGACGAUCUGUAGCUGGUCUGAGAGGACGACCAGCCACACUGGGACUGAGACACGGCCCAGACUCCUACGGGAGGCAGCAGUGGGGAAUUUUGGACAAUGGGCGCAAGCCUGAUCCAGCCAUGCCGCGUGCAGGAUGAAGGCCUUCGGGUUGUAAACUGCUUUUGUACGGAACGAAAAGACUCUGGUUAAUACCUGGGGUCCAUGACGGUACCGUAAGAAUAAGCACCGGCUAACUACGUGCCAGCAGCCGCGGUAACAC